UCNGAUGUCCCUACUAACUUGAUGGCGAU
rnacentral:piRNA from 1 species